rnacentral:lncRNA from 1 species
CAGAUCUACGCGUAUCCGUUAUAUUAUGAACGAAGCUGCUGGGAAUAAGAGGGGCAAGUGUAGUAUCUGUAAACAGCCUGGACAUUAUAAAAGCACUUAUCCUGAAAAUCAGCAAAGAAGGACCGAGAGACGUCAUCGAUAGGUUUUUCUAUAUGAAAAUGACACUUAGCUUCUUUAAUAUUUUAUGCUUACACACUAAUAUUAUAUCAUGUUGUUUCUAACUCAGAUUUAUUUUGCCAAUUGCAGAUGGACGAUCAUGACGAACUGGGACCUAUUGAUAUAUCCGUGCUGACUGAGCAGCCACGGCAUAGAUCUACUUUGAUCAGAGAGGUGGUGAAUUUUUUUUAAACAUUUCUAAUUUACGUAGAUCUACUAUGAUCAGAGAGCUGACAUUCACAAUCAUGCAGGGUUAUUCUCCUGUUCAAUUUACGGAGCAUGGCAGUAAAAAGAACAGAUGGCAGUGCGAGCAUCCUGCGGUGUUAGACUUAUUGAGACGAGCAGGAUUUUAUUACAUUUCACGAUUGCGCCGCCUACAGCUCGAUCAGUCAUUAUUGAGAGCAUUAGUCGAGAGGUGGCGGCGGGAGAUGCAGAGUUUCUAUUUGCGACACGGAGAGAUGAGUAUUACAUUGUUGGACGUCACAAUUAUUGCGGGAUUCUGCGUCGAUGGUAGGGCUGUGACUGGAGGGGGAUCCUAUAAGUGGGGGCGGGUUACUUCUCGGGGUGGUUCCGCAGAAUAUUAGGGGUGGUGAGAUUAAGAUCAACUGGUUAUAUCAGCAUUUCUAUGAUAUCCCCUUAGAUGCACCUUCCGCUAUUGUUCGAGCUACAGCGAGAGCAUAUAUUCUAUUUGAGAUAGGAUAUAGUUUAUUUUCAAAUCCAAGCAGGAAUAGGGUGCAUUUGAAAUGGUUGCCACAUCUAGAGGAUUUUGACCUUUGUGGUGAGUUGGCAUGGGGUGCAGCCGCGCUAGCUCAUCUUUAUCGCGCCCUAGGAAAUGCUUGCAUCAGGGGGAAGGUCGAGUGUUNUGAUCAGAGAGGAGGUGAAUUUGUUUUAAACAUUUCUAAUUUACGUAGAUCUUCUUUAACUUAUGUACUAAUUUUGAGCUGACAUUCACAAUCAUGCAGGGUUAU